rnacentral:rRNA from 1 species
AGGAUGAACGCUGGCGGCGUGCCUAACACAUGCAAGUCGAACGUCCUGUCUCGCAAGAGGCAGGGAGUGGCGGACGGGUGAGUACCACGUGGGUCAUCUACCGUGAGGUGAGGAAUACCGGCGAGAAAUCGCCGACAAGACCGCAUAGCCUCGGUGCAAGUCGAGGAAAGCUCUCUCGAGAGAGGGAGCGCCACACGAGGAGCCUGCGCCCGAUUAGCUAGCUGGUGGAGUAAUGGUUCACCAGGGCGACGAUCGGUAGCUGGUCUGAGAGGACGAUCAGCCACACUGGGAUUGAGAACGGCCCAGACUCCUACGGGGGCAGCAGUGAGGAAUUUUCGUCAAUGGGGGCAACCCUGAACGAGCAACGCCGCGUGCAGGAAGAAGGUUUCGGAUCGUAAACUGCUUUUCUCGGGAAGAGAACGGACGGUACCCGAGGAAUUAGCCCCGGCUAACUACGUGCCAGCAGCCGCGGUAA